rnacentral:lncRNA from 1 species
CCACUGCCCCAAAAUUCCAAAUCUACCUACCUCCUAAACUCAAAAGCCUCUCAAAUCAAUGUCUAUAGAACAGAGGCAAGAAAAUACAAUCAAAAACCAAUGCCUCCCAAAUCCAAACCCUUAACUGAACUAAAAGUCAAGAAAACUGAAAAUAACGAAAAUCAAAACCAUUGCUGCCACUAUCCAUCGUCAGCCCAAAACAAACAUCCGCAAUGCAGUGGCCACCACUGCUUCCUCCACCUUUUCGUCCCCUUUCUUUUGGUGUGUUAUACACGUAUCCACGCACAGACACACGUAUAUAUACAUUACCAAACCUAAACAAAUACAAAUGCUUACGUGAAGAUAUACAUACAUUCAGAAAUCAAAGGGAGGGGCUGGUGGCAGGGGCAAGCAGCUGACAAACCCACAACCUACAGCCACAAUCAAGCAACAACUGCCAAACUAAAUUGAUGAUCGCACAGGGUCUUGGAAAAUUGGGAAAGGCAGAGGACAAAAGGGGGAACUGUGCAUUUGAACGAACAUCUAAAGGUUAGAUCAAUCUACAGCUUCAAAAAGAUAGAAGAUGAAAUUAGAUUUGUUGCCAGCUAUUUUUGCCCACAUCUGAGAUUGUGGUGAUGAGGUGGCAGUAGGUUUUUAGUUGAUGAUAGAGGUUCUCUGUGUCUAUUUCUUUGCCAAUUUUGAUCUGACUAUAGGAUGUGGUGCCCCUAGCUUGCAGCUGGCUUGCAAGCAUUACCAAACCUAAACAAAUACAAAUGCUUACGUGAAGAUAUACAUACAUUCAGAAAUCAAAGGGAGGGGCUGGUGGCAGGGGCAAGCAGCUGACAAACCCACAACCUACAGCCACAAUCAAGCAACAACUGCCAAACUAAAUUGAUGAUCGCACAGGGUCU